rnacentral:rRNA from 1 species
AUUGAACGCUGGCGGCAGGCCUAACACAUGCAAGUCGAACGAGUGGCGGACGGGUGAGUAACGUCUGGGAAACUGCCCGAUGGCGGGGGAUAACUACUGGAAACGGUAGCUAAUCCCGCAUACCAUCGGAUGUGCCCAGAUGGGAUUAGCUAGUAGGGGGGGUAACGACUCACCUAGGCGACGAUCCCUAGCGGGUCUGAGAGGAUGACCAGCCACACAGGAACUGAGACGCGGUCCAGACUCCUACGGGAUGGAGCAGUGGGGAAUAUUGCGAAAUGGGCGCAAGCCUGAUGCCGCCAUGCCGCGUGGAUGAAGAAGGCCUUCGGGUUGUAAAGUACUUUCAGCAAGGAGGCGUUACUCGCAGAAGAAGCACCGGCUAACUCCGUGCCAGCAGCCGCGGUAAUAC